AUGCCGUGCCUGGCUCCGGCGCUGCGGGACCCUGCUGCACACCCACACGCGAGUGGGGGGGCCCUUGCCCCACAUCUCUGUGUCCCUGUGCCCUGCACCCCGCGUCCCUGCAUCCAUGUCCCCACAUCCUGCACCUUGCAUCCCCACGUCCCUGCAUCCAUGUCCCCAUGUCCUGCACCUCACAUCCCUGCAUCCAUGUCCCCAUGUCCUGCACCCUGCAUCCCCACGUCCCUGCAUCCCUGUGUCCCUGUGUCCUGCACCCCACGUUCCUGCAUCCAUGUCCCCACGUCCUGCACCCAUGUCCCUGCAUCCCCGUGUCCCCGUGUCCUGCACCCCAUGUCCCUGCAUCCAUGUCCCCGUGUCCUUCAUCCUGCACCCCACGUCCCUGCAUCCCCAUGUCCCCGUGUCCUGCACCCCACAUCCCUGCAUCCAUGUCCCCAUGUCCUGCACCCCACAUCCCCACGUCCCUGCAUCCCUGUGUCCUGCACCCCACGUUCCUGCAUCCAUGUCCCCACGUCCUGCACCCAUGUCCCUGCAUCCCCGUGUCCCCGUGUCCUGCACCCCACGUCCCUGCAACCAUGUCCCCAUGUCCUGCACCCUGCAUCCCCACGUCCCUGCAUCCCUGUGUCCUGCACCCCACGUUCCUGCAUCCAUGUCCCCACGUCCUGCACCCAUGUCCCUGCAUCCCCGUGUCCCCGUGUCCUGCACCCCACGUCCCUGCAACCAUGUCCCCAUGUCCUGCACCCUGCAUCCCCACGUCCCUGCAUCCCUGUGUCCUGCACCCCACGUUCCUGCAUCCAUGUCCCCACGUCCUGCACCCAUGUCCCUGCAUCCCCGUGUCCCCGUGUCCUGCACCCCACGUCCCUGCAACCAUGUCCCCAUGUCCUGCACCCUGCAUCCCCACGUCCCUGCAUCCCUGUGUCCUGCACCCCACGUUCCUGCAUCCAUGUCCCCACGUCCUGCACCCAUGUCCCUGCAUCCCCGUGUCCCCGUGUCCUGCACCCCACGUCCCUG
rnacentral:lncRNA from 1 species